rnacentral:lncRNA from 1 species
UUAAUGAUGUACUUAGGUGAGGUUAGGUAAAAAUUAAGAAAUUAAGAAAUUAAAAUUGAUACUAUAAGCUGGUAAAACAUCAAUUAAGGAUAAAGAUAGGCUAAAAAUAUUGAUAGGUCGUGGACCUCCUUUUUGAGAUAUUUGAGAUUUAAAAUAUGGCGGGAAAAGGCUGACUCGGACUUUUACCUUAUAUUUGCAUUGGUACUAUUUGGGUCUCAAAACAAAAGAAAAAAAUCAAGAAUCUUCUAAAAUUUUUGUAAAUGUUUUUUAAUGAGCUAUUUAGUCUUAUAUGAACAAAAAA